rnacentral:rRNA from 1 species
GAUGAACGCUGGCGGCGUGCUUAACACAUGCAAGUCGAACGGAAAGGCCCAAGCUUGCUUGGGUACUCGAGUGGCGAACGGGUGAGUAACACGUGGGUGAUCUGCCCUGCACUUCGGGAUAAGCCUGGGAAACUGGGUCUAAUACCGGAUAGGACGAUGGUUUGGAUGCCAUUGUGGAAAGUUUUUUCGGUGUGGGAUGAGCUCGCGGCCUAUCAGCUUGUUGGUGGGGUAAUGGCCUACCAAGGCGUCGACGGGUAGCCGGCCUGAGAGGGUGUACGGCCACAUUGGGACUGAGAUACGGCCCAGACUCCUACGGGAGGCAGCAGUGGGGAAUAUUGCACAAUGGGCGCAAGCCUGAUGCAGCGACGCCGCGUGGGGGAUGACGGCCUUCGGGUUGUAAACUCCUUUCGCUAGGGACGAAGCGUUUUUGUGACGGUACCUGGAGAAGAAGCACCGGCCAACUACGUG